rnacentral:tRNA from 1 species
UGGGGUGGAGCUCAGGGUAGUGCACUCACCUGGUAUGUGUGAGGCACUGGGUUCGAUCCUCAGCACCACAU